AGUGAACGCUGGCGGUAGGCCUAACACAUGCAAGUCGAACGGCAGCACAGGAGAGCUUGCUCUCUGGGUGGCGAGUGGCGGACGGGUGAGGAAUACAUCGGAAUCUGCCUUUUCGUGGGGGAUAACGUAGGGAAACUUACGCUAAUACCGCAUACGACCUACGGGUGAAAGUGGGGGACCGCAAGGCCUCACGCGAUUAGAUGAGCCGAUGUCCGAUUAGCUAGUUGGCGGGGUAAUGGCCCACCAAGGCGACGAUCGGUAGCUGGUCUGGGAGGAUGAUCAGCCACACUGGAACUGAGACACGGUCCAGACUCCUACGGGAGGCAGCAGUGGGGAAUAUUGGACAAUGGGCGCAAGCCUGAUCCAGCCAUACCGCGUGGGUGAAGAAGGCCUUCGGGUUGUAAAGCCCUUUUGUUGGGAAAGAAAUCCUGUCGAUUAAUACUCGGUGGGGAUGACGGUACCCAAAGAAUAAGCACCGGCUAACUUCGUGCCAGCAGCCGCCGUAACAC
rnacentral:rRNA from 1 species